rnacentral:rRNA from 1 species
CCUACGGGUGGCAGCAGUGAGGAAUAUUGGUCAAUGGGCGCGAGCCUGAACCAGCCAAGUCGCGUGAGGGAAGACGGUCCUAUGGAUUGUAAACCUCUUUUGUCGGGGAGCAAAAGACGCCACGCGUGGCGUUCCGAGAGUACCCGAAGAAAAAGCAUCGGCUAACUCCGUGCCAGCAGCCGCGGUAAUAGGGAGGAUGCGAGGGUUAUCCGGAUUUAUUGGGUUAAAAGGGUGCGCAGGCGGAAGAUCAAGUCAGCGGGAAAAUUGAGGGGCCCAACCUCUUCGAGCCGUUGAAACUGGUUUUCUUGAGUGAGUGAGAGGUAUGCGGAAUGCGUGGUGUAGCGGUGAAAUGCAUAGAUAUCACGAAGAACUCCGAUUGCGAAGGCAGCAUACCGGCGCUCAACUGACGCUGAUGCACGAAAGUGUGGGUAUCGAACAGGAUUAGAUACCCGGGUAGUC